rnacentral:lncRNA from 1 species
CCCUGUUCGUCCUGCCUUAUUUGAAAUUUUUUGAAAGGGUAUAAGGUGGGGAAAACCAUUAACCUUAUUAUUGUAAUCUAAACUGCACCUAAUUUAUCCUGUUGACCUAGCGACAUAGAUGUUUUUACUUUUAAUUGAGAUUAUUAAAUGUGAUUCAUCAAAAAUAUUAUAAUUACAUACUUAAAGUCAUAAUAAAACAAGUGACUUGUGACAAAUAAU